rnacentral:misc_RNA from 1 species
GAUGGAAGAACGUAGCGAAAUGCGAUAAGUAAUGUGAAUUGCAGAAUUCAGUGAAUCAUCGAAUCUUUGAACGCACAUUGCGCCCCCUGGUAUUCCGGGGGGCAUGCCUGUCCGAGCGUCAUUACAACCCUCAAGCUCAGCUUGGUAUUGGGCCCCGCCGACCCGGCGGGCCCUAAAGUCAGUGGCGGUGCCGUCCGGCUCCGAGCGUAGUAAUUCUUCUCGCUCUGGAGGUCCGGUCGUGUGCUCGCCAGCAACCCCCAAUUUUUUUCAGGUUGACCUCGGAUCAGGUAGGGAUACCCGCUGAACUUAAGCAUAUCAAUAAGCGGAGGA